AUGUUCACUUUAGCAGCCAAUAAAUAAUAAAUAAGUGAUACAGAGAGGGUUAGCAGGGCCCCUGCACAAGAAUGACACAUAAAUUUUUAAAGCAUUCCUUUCCUCC
ensembl:snRNA U6 U6 spliceosomal RNA